GCGCAAAACAUCAAAAGUGGUUUCGAUUCAGUAAUUACUUAAAAUUAAACAUUUAUAAAAAUAAGUUUGUUAAUCUUCAUACAGCAAUGCUUCAUGCAAUAUAUUCAUGUUUUUGUCAAGAUGAUCUACAAGUACCAAGUGGGAAAAUAAGACUUUAUACUUUGAAAUUGAAUUUCAAAAGUUGUAACUUUAAUAUCGAGAAAGAAUACAAUUUUAGUGGAGCUGGAAAUAGUGACAGAAUGAUUUUUGCGUUAUGAAAACUUUCCCAUGUGAUCUUUUUCUUGACUAUCUCUGAUUAUGAGCCUUCUAGCAUUACAAAUUCUCUUUGAAGAUGAGGAUAUGCCCUUUCAUGAUUCUGAUGAGAGUUGGAUGAAGCUAUCUUCAUUCAUGGAAAAUCUAAAUGAUCCAACAAGCGCUAUCAAUGUGAACAAAUAUUUUCCUGGCUGGCAUUAUCCCUAAGAGACUAUCAUCCAGAAUCAGAGGAAUGACUCUUCAGACAAUAGUGACCACUUUCCAAAUGCUCUUUCAAAUUUUAAUUUUGAGAACUAUCGUAAAUCUGGCUUCUACUGAGUUGAUGCGAUUCUGCAUUUUUGCACCAGGAUUGGACUUGCCUACCUCAACUUCACUGCUGCCAGUAUCAGUUUUCACAGUGAGAGAAAGUUAUGGCAGCAAUAUUAAAAGUUCUUCAAUCUAAAAUUAACAUCAAGCUGGAAGAAAAUUUUGAGAUUGAUGUUAUUACAGUAAGAAGACUUAUUAGUGCGGGAAGAAAUAGAAAGAUUUACAAUAUUGAGUUUGACUGAAUCAGGAAGCAAUCCAUUGUUAGCAUUUUAUAUAAUCAUUCAGACUUGUGUUGUGCAAAGGCCGUAGGCAGAGCCGGCCUUCUUUACGAGGGGACCCAGGUUCAAGAAGCCAUUUGGGGCCUAAUUUUUUGUGAAGUAAAUAAAAUACAAACACAAACGUACAUUAUUAAUGAAUGCUUAUUUAAUGCGUGAUUUUGUUUUUGCUAAUACAUCAAUUACUUCAGAAAAAUUACAAUUUUUUUGUAUUUUCUUUUUCGAUGCUUAAUUUAGCAAUUGCAUUUAAGCAUUCUGAAACACAUGCUUGACCAAAGAUAAUUCUUUAUUAAUUUUAAUUUUCUGAAAGAGUGCUCAGCACUUGCUAUAGUAACUGGCAGUGUGAAGAAAAGUUUUAACACAGUUAAUACAAUUAGAAAUAACUCAUUAUAAUUAAUAUUUAUUAUGUAUUGCAAUAUGUCUUGUGCAUUAUUGACAUCUUUCAUUCAAAA